CUAUCUCAAAAACUAGAAAGGAUUCUUUUCCCAUAAAACUGUCCAGUACUCUGCCACUAAGUUAACUUUAACAGUUAUUUUACAUGACAUACUGUUGAUAGCUAUUCCACUACUAAGGAUUGCCCACUAGCACCCUUAGAGUAAAUAUUUGCAACUUUUCUUUGAAGUAUGUAUUUGGAGACAAAACAGACAAGUAUUUUCCAGUAUUUUCCUUUCAAAUAAGAUUUAAGGGAAGCAAUAUGAUAGUUUAUGAGAGUAGCACACGGCUCACUUAAAUGGUGCUCCAUUUUAUAGUCCUAUUUCUGUUCUUGACCUGUUACAUCAUCAGAGGCAGGAUCUUUCAUCUCUGCUUGUGCACCUUCUGAGAACAUCUGAAUGCAUGUAUAUUCUUGGAAACCUGUUUUACCACAAACAUUUGAACCUGAAAUGCCAGAUUCAUAACCCAACAAACUGAUUUGUUGUCGACUACUGUGCUCACACUGGUUCAGAUGCUGUGCUUCUCCUGUGAGAAACCUGUGCAAGUUUCCAGAGUGUAAGAGAUUACUGCUGCUCAGGGAGCAACAUCACAGACACAGUAGAGAUAAGUGGAUUUGUGCCUUAAUGAUUCCCUUUACUCCAUACUCUUCUCCUUUAAGCAAAUGAAAUCUGUAUAAGAAAUGACUCUAUGUAAAGUUAAAGUGGGGGAAGAAAGGGUUGAAAUAAUAUUCAGAAAGCCAUUCUAAGCUAGGUGCGAGCCUGGAAGUGAUGUCACUAAAUAAUAUGUAAAUUCUCUGAAUUUUUUCAUCCUUUCCAAAAGAACUCUUUUCCCCAGAAAAUUCCCUUCAUUGCUUGCUUUAGUUAGGUUUACAGUGAAUGUUUGUGUCAUAAGUCAUACUCUGUUGACCAAAGGAACGGUUGCUAUUGACUGCAGUCAGAAGAGAUUGAAACUUUGGUUCCUUUUGAAAGAAAAGGAAUUGUUACUGUGCAGCAAAGCUGAUCAGCUGGGUGAAAGGGACAUUUUCUACAACUGACAGGAGGCAACCAGAGGUGAAUGUCAGGGAGCCUGAAUCUGGGGAGCAGGGCAGCCACCAAGUCUUGACAUCUCAGCAUCUGCUCCUAUUUGGUAGACUCCUGUAUUUACUGCUGCAGCACUGACUUUGCUUGUUAGGACUACAACUGCUGGUUCAGGGGUCUGCAACACCAGCAUGUUGGAAGAGGUAGGACUGUUUACAGACUUAGUAUUAGGUGUACAUUUAAACAAUUCACUAAUUCAAGCUUCUCAUCCCAGUUUUCUUCCUGAGAAAAAAUACUACUUUUGUCUAUAGCAUGCAAUCAGAUCUGCAUUUAAUCUCACAUUGGCUGAUGUGUACUACCCCCCAGCAUGUAAAGGAAAUGCUUACAUACAAAUAACUACCUUUAUUUUAGGGAUGUGACUUGCUUCACUAAUUCCCCAGGAUAUUUAUUUAUAAAAAAUUACUUUCAGAGCCUUUUAGUGCAUUGACCUUGUUUCAGGGUUUAGAUGGGAAGAGGGAGGGCUGGAGUUUUUUCUUAAACGCUGCAGGGGAUUUCUGUCAGGUUGCUUUAACACUUCAUCUCAGAUUCUUGCCAGGCUUUUGGGCUAAAGAAUUUUCAAAUGCAGCUAGCCGUCAUCACAUAGCUCUUGCGUUUGUACAGCAGUAUCUGCAGAAGCCUAUCAAAUAUGGGCUAAUGCUGAGAUGUCAAGGCCUUGGUGGCUGCUCUUUGUUUUAUAAAUAUAAAAUUGAUUUGGCUUUCAUGCGAUGAGAAAGCAAGAGGACUUAAGAAUAGAGGCACCAGAUAAGCAUCAUAAAUGCGUACAUCACUUUUAGUGUAUCAGGUGUGGAUGUUGUAGUGACCACUCUAUGGACUGAGUCUGUGCAUUAUAGCAGUUUCCUAUGCAAAGAUGCGGAAUGUUGUUAUUCCCCUAAAGAGCAGGAGAGCAGAGAAAGGGAUGUGCUGUGCUGCUGAAUUUUCCUUUCAAAAACCUAAGGGUUUCAUAGCAAUAGGUCACCACAUUUAGAAUCACUAAAACACUCAUGCUGUAAAAACACAGAACUCGUAGUCUUCUUUACCCCACUGAGGGUUAGCACUGCAAGGGCUGUUAACGAUUCCUUUUGCUUUCUCUUACUGAGUGUUUUCACAUAUAUAUCUACAGAAAAUGAAACAUGAUAUAACAUGCAUGGAAAAUACAAGCAUGUACUACCCAAACCUCAUUCUCCAACUAAAGUAUCUAUUGUUUAAUAACAGAAGGUGCGUAGGGAUUUUUUGGGUGGAUUACUGAGUUGAAGUGUAUUUCGUGCCCCCAAAAUAACAGCUUACAUGCAGACCAUAGGUGUCCAACCUUUUGGCUUAUCUACGCCUUACUGAGCCCAAGAGGAAUCAUCUUGGGCUGCAUAUAAAAUAAAAUAUGUAACAAAAAUUAUUUUUAUUAUUUUUUUUAGUAAAACAUUUUAAAAGGGAAACAAACACACAAGACUAGUGGGUUGGACACAUGAUCUAGGCCAUGAGAAGGUCCCACAUAUCUCUGGGCAGCAACUUUGGAUUAAAGGAACUCUAUUGAAAUGGCAAAUUCCUACUACUUCUCACAGUAGAGCAGGUAGAACUGUUAUUCUCUCCUGUUACUUCCUGAUGUUUGAACUCAGUCCCUCAUUCCUCUACCAUUGCUUCUCGGUGUCACCCAGGGCUAUACAUAUGGCAACUGCACACACAGUCCUACUUGCAGAUGGGGCUUAGGCUAAAUGCUAGGCUUUGUGGCAUUUCUGUGCUAAUCUCUGAAGGCUUUUGGAUACACCCCUGAGGCAGUGCACUUCUAGAACCCCUGCUUGGCCAGACAGAAGUUCGGCUUCCCUGGGGUUAAAUCCCAAGAAGAUUUCAGUGGUAGUUAAGUUGGAUGUAGGCAGGUGGAAGUGUACAGCACUGCAAAAUGUAACUCCAUUGCCUCUUGGUUUUACUAAUGCCUCAAAGGAGGGCUGGCUCAUUCUAAGUGCAGUGCAAUAUCUAAGUAGAAAAAGAGAUGUUUGGAAAAAUCAUUCAUUAUAUUUUUCAGAAUAAAGCAAUCACAUCUUCCUUAGCAGAGAAUGCAAAGAAAGCUGUAAAUAUCACAGCUGCUCACUGGCAACUAGGAAAAAAAAAGAGUCAAAUUCAAAGCUUGCCACUUCUAUUCACAGUGAAUGACUUAGGAGUCAAAAGAAGAACAGGGUGUGUACAGUCUGAAGAGAAUAUUGCUGGUAGAAUUCUAAGGAUGCCUCCUAAAACUGGCAAUUGCUCACCAUGUCAGCUGGAAUAAAGUUUGUCACAUUGUAUGUCCAGAUGCAAUAUGGUGAUAUAUGCAAUUUCAGUCACUCUUUCCAAAUUGUGGGCUUUAUCUGAAAUGCUCUCAUACCCCAAACUGUCUGCAUUUUCAUUAAAAGAAUGAAUGUUCCUGUCAUCAUCUUGGUAGGAACGCCAACAGGAAAUAAGCUACCUCUAAAUGAAAAGAUGCAUUUUAUUGUUUGCAAAGCUGGGGAAAUAUGAAUCAAACUUACAACUUGGCUGGCAGGUGGUUUGUUUGGAGUAUGGAAUUAGUGCCUUUGUAGGGGUCUGACAAAUAGCCUGGGGUCUCAGACAAUGCACUGGCAUCCUGGUGGCUGCAUGAUCUUACAGAGAGCAUUAACUUCUCUGUGCCUCAGUUUCUUCAUCAGUAAAACUGUGAUAAUCAUUUUCUGCUGGAGUUUCCAGCUAAUAGGCUUGUUAUGCCCUGCAAAGCACUCAGAGAUCUCCAUCUGGAACAAACUACAGAAGUGCAAGUAUUAUUGCUAUUAGAAGUCCAUUACAGCUCUGUUUUGCUUUGUUCGUACUGGCCCUUUGGUACGUGCAGCUAGACAGCUCCUAAUGUUAUCUUGAUGCACAAAGCACUUUUUGUGUGAGGUUUGACUCACACUAAAAUGCCAGUUAGAAUUUUGUCCUCGGGAACUCACUGGAGCUUGGCUUACAGAAUCUGAAAAUUAAAUCAACCAAAAUAGGUCAAACACAAAACUAUAUGUCCUUAUGUGUCCUCUUGUCCUCUUUAGCAGUAUAGCGCAUAGUUGUUGUUUUCUUAUCUGUAAAGUUUGGGCCUGUUUUGUUCCUCAGCCAGCUUUGCUACUGAUAUCUUGGUUACAUUUUGAAUACCUGCUCUUGAGAAUUUUCUGUUCCCAUUAAAUAUAGUUUAGAAGGACACGCUCAUCUGUUAGUGGUCCAGAAAUAACGUGCUGAAUGCACCAGCAGCUGAUGCGACUGAACGUGAUACAAAAGUGUAUCAUUCUGUUAGAGUUUGUUGGUAGGCAUCAUUAUGGAAAUGUUUUUGAGCCUUAAAAAAGGGAAUAGUGUAUCGGAAAUUGAAUCAAACGUUAACAGAAGCUGCAGUUUGUGGUUUACUUUUCCCUCGCAGCUAGUUCUUUAGGAAUUAUUCCUGUUCACAUAAUCCCUUAAGUUAAUGUAUUUAUUCCGUGCGUGCUUUAUAAUUUCUAUUCAUUCAUAUGUCAAGUAGCUGAAGGUGCUGCUUCAAUUAGUAUUUACUUCAGUGUUAUACUGUUUUGAAUUGGUUGUUUGUUACAGUCACAAUGCAGUGAAUAAACGUGUUAAUAUUUGAAGUGGGAAGGGAGGUAAAAUGGGAAACCGUCUGCUCCAGUCGCGGCCCAGCUUUCUGGUUACAACAUAUUAUAAUUUAUUUAAACCCAAUCAAUACUUAAUCUGGAGUUUAAACUCCGCUAAAGAUCUGUGGCAUAGCUAAAAGCAGCUGAUGCCAAAGAAAAAAAAUUUCUUCAGGCUGUGAUUCUGAUGAAUUUAUAAUGCGCUCUAAGGGUGAUGCAUUGACCUAAAUUCACAGAAGCGCCGCAAUUCGUAUUUAUUAUUGUGAAAGGUGUCCUACCAACACUUUUCUUCUUCUGAAUGUUGAGAGCCUGUGUGAGAAAGAUGGGUGGCUGCAGAGGAAGGAGCUGCACGCACAGCCCGGGAGGGUGGGAUGGGACUGAGCGCGGCCCUGUGCCGCACACCGGGCGGUGAGUCACUGUGACCCCGAGAUUCAAGGCAGGAAUUAAUUCAGCACUGCAAAAAUCUGGCAAAUGUUUGAAGCCAGCAGUGAAAGCAGACUUCCUGAGAGGUGUGUGUUUGUGGUGACAAUUUGGAUUUAUUUUGCUGGCAAUGCAAAAGACAUUGUUACAGCAGGAAGAAGACAGUUGUGUUAAAAACUGCUUCUCUUUUUUAGUUCUCCCCCCCCCAGCCUUUCUGGGGAAAUAGAUUGUGAUCUCUGCGGGGUUUGGUUUUCUCUGUACAGCUCUUUAAACUCCCCCAGGCACAGCCAUCUCAGGGCAGGGCCCACGGGCAGCUCCUACCAGCACUGCAGGGAUGUGCACACACCAUUCUCUUGUAAGGUCUGGGCAACCUCAUAUUUCCCAGCACAUUUUGGCAAGCUUUUACUCAGAGUGGUCCAACAGCUUUUCAUAGUAAGUGAAUGACUUCCCAGUGACCUGAGCCCUCUUCCAAGCCUCCUUUGUCACCCUGACAGCUUGCAGUCAUGCUUUUCUGAUCUUGUGCAAAGCUAUAUGUUUUACCAGAUCUGUAACUGCAGGAGACUUGGUUGUUCUGAAAAUUAACUGGAUGAAUAAGGGAAAUGUAUAGUGGAUAAAGGCUGACAAUCAUCCCCACUUCUUUUAUGAUACAAUGCCCUGCCCUCAUGAGAAGCGAGAAGAGCUCAAUUCUCCCUCCUAAUUGAUAGGUGCAUACUUGUCAGAUGUGGUUUCCCCAGGCAGUCUGUAAGGCAGGACUCACCCCCACACACCGUUCAUCCCCAGUCCCUCACCUGUGUGCUUCUGGGGCAUCACAUCAGACACUCUCCCAGCAUGUGUCUUCUUGCUCUAUUUUGUGCCCGCCUCUGCCCAUAUUGCUGCUGUAGUGGUUUAUGCCAGAAUAAAUAUGGGCUAGCAUAAAUCCUCAGGCUUGGAAGGCAUUAGCCUGCCUUUACUGUAGCACAAUCGACAGCUGUACCUGGCACCACGACCUCAUUGCACCCCAGCGUGGCAGCAUCCAGAGCCUUGAUGCAUUGGAGGAGCAGAGCCACAUGCUUGCUGAGGUUUGUUCCUCUGGGCUGGCCCUGAGGAUGAGAACAGCAUGCAAACACAGCUUCUCAGCAGGAGCAACUAUUAGUUUCAGCUUUAACCUUUACUUAAAAAUAUGAAGCUGCUGAGCAAAAAUGCAAAGGCUUAGUGUUCAAACUCACGCCUAACUCAGAGAGCUGGGUUCCUAGAACCAACUGUGAAUUUCAGUUUAGCAGCAAGGAAGUUUAUGUUCAACUUCAGUUUUUCUUCCAGCUAUAAUGCUCAAAGGGAGUACUUCAGUAUCUGUCUUGCUUUUUGUUAGGGAGAUGAAACAAAACAAAACACCAUUUGUCAUAAUUCUUUGGGAUUGCUAUUAUGGCCAGGAGAAAAGAGGGCUUCUGCUAGUUCAUGUACGAGUCAAAAGAAAGGCAUAUUCCUUUCCCCACAGGAUCCCAAGCGGAAGAGUUGGUGGAUAGGUAAGAUAAAAAUGGGUAUAGAUUGUGAGAGACAGGCUGACAAAAAAAAGUGCGUGCAGUUUUUUCACUAUUCUAGAGCAGUAAUUGUACUUUGCUUACAUACCUAAGCAUGUUUAGGUGGCAAUUUUCUUUCCUUGUAACAGAAGAGGUGACUUUCAAGAGAAUAAUCUGAAGGAGGUUGUGGUGGAUGACUGUUUUCCUUGUUGUUGGUUUUUUUUGUUUGUUUGUUUUGUUUUGUUUCUUUAAAUUCAGAAUGUUUUUUACCAGGUCAACAGGCCAAUUUCUCUCCAUUGUUCACAAAGCUAUUGGGUAUUUUUUUUUUCCUUCCCACUGUGCCUUGAAAAAACAACUUCACUUAAGUUCAUGUGUGAAACCUUUUGCACAACAGAAGUGGUUUCUUGUGGCCAGUAAGAAUAAAUGUUCUGAGCAUUCCAGGAAGCAUAUAAAUAGACUGAUACUCUUCCUAAGGUUAUAGAGCAUUAUUUCUCCCUUUUUUUCUUUAUUUCUCCUCCUGUCCUACUCCCCUACUUUCAGUUACGCUCUCUCCAUCUAGGCAAAGACCAAACAAAGUGCAGUGUUUGAAAAUCCUGACCAUCAUUUUCCAUUUUACUUGGGUUUUUCUCAGUUACAUGUUCUGAAUAGAAAUUGUUCGAGUAAAUGCAGCACAGUAAAUUAUCUUAAAUUACUUCUUAUAGUCCAGACUAGUAUUAUAACAUGAAAAUUGUUACUUGGAGUCUCCCACGCCCCUGGCUGCUGCAGACCUGUGUCUCCAGGCUGGGGAGAAAUGGAUCACAGUACUUAUCCAGCAGAGCCUGCAGGCCAAUCCACAAUGUGGAAAGUGGAGUUCGCAUAAAGGAGGUCUCUUAUCCUUUCCUCUCAAUCCUGCUAGAUAUAGCAAAGCUGUCACAAUGGUCAAAUAUAAUUAAAAUGGUGAUCUGCCACUGAAGGGUAGGCCAAUGUCUAUGCAGAAACCAGAUGAGGAAUUAUUCAAGCCAAAAACAUUAAAUCUCAGCUCAUCCGUGGUUACCAUAAAACAGCCAUCCUGUUCCUUUGAUCUAUGAUGAAUUUGAAUGUGUGUUAAUAAGACAUAUAUGUUGGGCAUCAACAUCAUCUUCUGUUGAACGAAGGUAAACACUGCAUUCGUCUCUGUAAAAUAUACUUCAGUAGUUGGGAAGAAAGUGGAGAUUCAUUAUUUUUGCAGUUGUAGAAGACAUUUAGCAGCUGUGUUUAUACUGGCAGACAAUUUGGAUAUUAGGUGGCAGGACAGAGAACUGCAGAUGCACGAUAUCGUGCAGACAUUGUGCACUUACAGCACAUUUCCAGGGAAACAUGUUAUUUUAUAUUUCCCUUGGUGUCAUUAAUCACGUUUCAUGAUGUAUCUCACUAUUUCAACUCAUUCCCCUAGAUUCAUUCAUUUUUUGGCCUGUUUAUUUAAUAGUUAUUGAGCUCCAUUUCAACAAAUUCCAUCUUAACCACAGAUAAUAAAGUUCCUUUUGCUUCAGGGGAGAAAAUUAAGAUGGCCCUGUACUGAUUUCAGGGACUACCUGUAAUAGUCAGCAUGUCUGCUGCAUCAGAAAGAUACUUUGUUUGCCUUUGGUCAGAAAAAUGUUCAUGCUGUUCUUUGCAACUUAAAAAUUAAACUCAUUUCCUGAAAGUAAAAAUAUGAUUCUUAUCUUGAACUAUAAAGGAAAACAGCUGCACUUUAUUCUGUUCUCGAAGUUCUCUAAUCUCUCUGGAGGCUUUGUUUUGGUUUCACAGGUGAAUCCCUUAAACUGCAGCAGCAAUGAUGGCUCCUCCUUGGCAGAAACAUGCUGAGAAGCAGUUGGGAAUCCCCUGCUCUGGAGCUGCAGCCUGAGGAACCUCAGCGUGUAAGAAGCCUCUCUGAGGCACUCACAUGGUGAUGGUUAUACAUCUCCUGCUUACCCCAACUUAGUGAAAGCUGUCUUCAAGCAAAUAAGACUGGCAGCAAGGCUGGGAGUGCAAUCACCUGCUGGCAUAAUCCCUGGACUCUUCUUAAAGGAAUUCUAAAAAGGGAAACUCAGGAAUGCCUACCUGACUGUCCAGAGAACUGCCAUCCAGAGGAGCAUCCUACAGCAGCACAAGCAUUUCAUCUUCUGGAUUUGUGGAGACAUGUGGGAUUUGUUGAUGCUGAAGGCAGGAGGAAGUCAAGGGAGAAAAAAAGAAUUCUGGGAGAUUUUAAAAACAAAAAUGAUUCUCACUAGGAAACUUGGUAAAACUGAAGAUCCAAAGUGAAACAUCAGGAAACAUCACCAAAAUGAAGCCCGUUGGAUGUUUGCAGCUGUUUCUUUAGUCCUGAUUAACAGGGAUUUUCUGAGAAGAGCUGCACAAGUGCAGUCCCCAUUCAACGUACAGAUUUUCCAGAGUGAUCUCCAAGUUGUAAUGGACAACCUCUUUCCUGCCAGCAGAGCCCAGAGAGGAAUAAACCAAGACCACCAGCUAAGUCAUUGUGUAAUGUGCUGUGGAUAUGAGCAUCGAAUGCCCUCAGUGGCAAUGACUCAGGACCAAAUCAUCCUUUUGCGGGAAUUACCUACGAAGGAAACUGGACGCUCCAUGGCAUCUGUGUCAUCCUUCCCUCCAGAUGGUGCCUCCAAAUCUGUUCUGAAAUGGCAUGUGCAAAGCAAACCCAGAGUGCCUAUCAUUCAGCCCUCUGAUGGCAACUCUCAGACAACUCGGGGACAGACAGAACACAAAACCAGAAAUAAGGACUUGCAACCGUGGCUGAAGAUGCCCAGAGAGUCGUGUAUGUAACAGCCAGCGAGAGGCAGAUGACAGCAACAAGAAAUUUCACAGCUCCAAAGAGUGAACGUACCACGGAUUAGUACCGGAGACAGAAAUACUUCUAUGAAAACCAUGAAGGAAGUUCCGGAAUCUAGAGUAACUCUCGGAUGCACAGAACUGGAGACUUAAAAGAUCCUCAGUUCCCCCAGGACCUGAGCAUGUAGAAACGUGGGGGCCUGGCUGUCCUUCUGGUCUGCACGCGUGGCCUCAAGCCCGAAUCCCUACAACAGCAUCUCCACUGGCAGCAAAGCGCUUCUUUGCCCUUUACCACUGAACUGCUGUGGCUUGAUUGUGUGAAACUGAGUUUCAGGAUGCAAGAUACUGUUCAGAUAGUUCUGCAAUACAUUCUUCAGACCCAGCAGCUUUGGCAGGCCCGUGGAUGAUGGAAUAACCAGAUCUCUGCGGCCACCCCUGAAAAACAGAUUCUUUCUUCUGGAUUCCCUGGGAUUCUCUCAGCAGCCAGCCUUGUUUACAGAAGUCAGCGCGGACAGUAACAGCCCUUCACCAAUGAGCCACAGUGGACCCUUUGGGGAAGGCUCCUCACGGUGCUCUGUCAUCUGCUGACAAAGUGGUGCCAGGACCAGAACUUCACAAUGAACUCUGCGGAGAAAAAUCCACAGCAGAUGAAGGAAUCUCGAAGGUAUGGACCUGCAGUAAAACUGCUGUAAGAAAUGAUUUAGUUUAUCUUUAUUCACCUCUGUAAAGGCUGAAGGCUGAGCCUUGUGGCAGGCUGUGAUAUCACCUUCUUAGUCGAGUUAUUUGUUACUGUUUUUUAUGUUUUCUGGUAUUCAAAAAAAAAAAAAGAAAAGAAAAGAAAAAGCUAUAGCUAGGAGUUAUUGGCAGUUCAAACCGACUAACACCAUGUUUGGAAAUGACCUGGAGUGCAGGUAUUUGCUACAGGAGAGCACCUGGAGCAGCUGAUGGGCGCUUAGGUACCGUAGUGCUGCUUUCCUGCCUACGGCCAAGGGACCGGGCGUGCGCAGCAGUGUGCUCUGCACGACCAGAUAGGAAUAGCAGCAAUAUCCAGCACCAAUUCCUUCCCUCUCACUCCUGGUCUGUUUCCAUACGUGGCAGUCAUGCAAUGUGAUUUCAACACGAACCGGGCUCCUGAUGUGAAAGCGUUCUCAGCUUUCAAGUUUAGGUUUAAAAAAACAACACGGAACGGAUGAAGUGAAAUGUUUCCUUUGGACGGCGCUCUGACAAAGGGGAGGAAACCCCUCACUGUGGGAUGGCAGCCGCGGGUCAGGGGCGGGUAAGCAGCGGUUACCGCCAUCCAGAGGAGAGCAGCCAUCAGCCGUCAGAUUGCAUUUUGUUUUGUGAGUGGAAAGGAGAACCCAACCGGUUGGUCUGGUUCGUGCUGAGGCAUCCCAGAGCAGAAAAACAACUCAGUGACAGGUAGACUCAGGCUUAAAGUGAGAGGAUCCCCCACGUCACUGGUUUCAACUAGAGGAUACGUCUGUGCUAUGAGAAUACUCAGUAUGAGAAACGUGCUGCGAAACAGAGGCAGCCAGUUGGAGCAGUGCUUCAGACUAAGCUGAGGUCAGUUUUAGAAUCACAGAACACUUCAGGCUGGACAGGAACUCUUGAUGUCACCUCAAUCCACGCCCUGCUCAAAGAAGGUCUCACUACGUCAGAUCGCUCAAGGCUGCAGCCAGUCAAGUUGAACCCUCAAAUGGGGAGCCUCUGCUGAAUGCUGGUUACUGCAAGGUACUGGUUAAACGAAUUCAUAUGCAAAAAUAUUCUUACUUUUUUCUGGAUACAGUUUGAAAUGCUCCACUUUCAGAGUUCAUUCACUUUCUUGGUUGUGUAUGUACUGUCCAAAAAUCAUAUCUAAGAAGAUAGUUGUUUGGUGAUGGGAGGUACAUUUAGGCUUGUAUGAGUCUACAGUGAUAAUAAUCAUCUAACUAGCUUAGAUUGCAAAAGUUAAUCUAGUAAAAUAUUGGGUGAUGUUGUGACUGGCUGGAUAGAUGAGAGGAGAGCAGUGAAUGUUGUCUACCUUGACUUUAGUGAGGCUUUUGACACUAUCUCCCAUAACAUCCUCAUGGUUGAAGUUAGGAGUUGUGGAACAGAUGACUGGACAGUAAGGCAGACUGAGAACUGGCUGAUGGCACAGCACAGAGGGUUAGGAUCAGUAGCGCAAUCCUAGUUGGUGUUUUCACAGGAUCGGUACUGAGUCCAGUCUUGUUGAACAUCUUCAUCAGUAAACUGGAUGAAUGCAUGGACAGCAUCCUCAGCAAGUUGUGUGAUGAUACAAAUCUGGGAGUGGCUGACACACCAGACGGUUGUGCUGUCGUUCAGUGAGACCUGGGCAGGCUGCAGAGUUGGGCAGAGGGGAUCGUGAUGAGGUUCAACAAGGGCAAGUGCAGAGUCCUACACCUGAGGAGGAAUAAGCACUUGUAUCAGUACAGUUUGGGGCUGAUCUGCUGGAAAAGACAUGUGCAGAGAAGGUCCUGGGUGUACUGGUGGUCAACAGGUUGGCUGUGAGUCAGCAGUGUGCCCUUGAGGCCACAAAGGCCAAUGGUAUCCUGGGGCACAUUAAAAAGAGCAUGGCCAGCAGGUCGAGGGAGGAGACCUCUGCAGACCUGAAGGGGCAGCUUUGCCUCAUCCCCACUGACCCAUCCUAUCCUUCUUCUAGGAAAGCAAUUGUGAGGACUUUUGUGGCAAAGAGGUGCUUUAAAGAAGUAAACUUUGGAAACACAGCUGAUUUUUAAUACUUCAGCCCCAGUCACUGGCAAUAGAAGGGAUUUGAUUGGGAUGAGUGCUAAGAGUCCUUCUGCUGUGCUCGGUCAGCUACCCCACCAGAAAUGAACGUGUGACAUGUUAUUUAAACUGAGAAGUUGAUAGCAUUGAAUACAUCUGUUUGUAUAAACUAGCUGGCUAUCCCCUUGCCAUCUCUAACGUAAAUCUACUAAGGUAUUGUGAAACUUCAUUUAUUUUAAGCUUGCAGUAUUUACCUGUGCAAAUCAUACAAGAAGCGUCCUUUCUAACUUCCAUGCCAUUUUUCUACUGAGUUAUUUGUUGGAAAGAUAUGUUCCUGUAUAAUUAAAUGUGGUUUUCUGAAACCUUUGCAGUUGGUAGCUUAAUAUAUAUUUUGUUGUACUUUGAGUACAAAGGAUGUAUUAUGCUUUUGUUGGCAUCCUUACUAGUCAGUGUGCCAACUGCAUAAUUUGGUUCUCUGCUAUAUGUCAGGAUUUGAGCGCCGAGGGCUCAACAGGUGGUGCUGGGAUAAAGUUCUGGCAAAUCAAAUAGGUAGCGCAGUUAUUUCUUUUGUCAAAUUAUAAUUGAAAACAGAGACAAGUAAAAUGAAGCUCAUGUUUUCCUGGUGCAAAACAGGGUUUAGAAUUCAAUUCAAAUCAGUUCACAUGACGAAUACACAUUACUACUGGAGCUUGGUCUGUAAAUAAACAUGCAGCACCUUAGUUUUGAUGUAGAAUGAUUCGUUCUUUGCAAAUUUAAACCAUAAGUGUCAGCAUUUAAACAAUAACAGAGGGCGUGAGUCCUCCAUGACUCUUCUGUCUUUGUCAUGCAUAUCUUGCAGAAAAUGUGCCAAAAUCUUCAGGAAAACUUUGAGAAGAUUUAAAUCUAAAAAGUCAGAGAAUUUGAGGCUGUCUGUGAUACGUAACUCAAAUGCUUAGCAUCAGGAGUUUCCUGCCAUAUUGUUUUCUAACCAUCGCUCUACCUGUGACCCCAGCAGAAAAUGGCAAAAAUACACUGGAAAUUCCAGUGAAUGUGCUGCAUGAGGUGCUGCUUGUUUUAUACUUGUCUUGGAUAAUGUUUAUUGAUCCUAAAACCAUACAAAUGGGUUAAAACCCAUUCUGCAACAAAAAUACAACAGAUGAUGGAGGCACAGUUUGGUUUUCCAAAAUUGUAUAUAAAAAGAUCUAUGCACUUGCAAGCCUUUUCCCUUUGUUAUUGUAGCUGAUGUUUUUACAGUGAGAUCUUGUUAUUUUCCUCUGAGGACCUCUCUCAAUAUGAUAUAUAUAAUCUUAUCUACAGCUCCUACAGACACUGUGGUUUUAGUUAGUUUUCUGUUUCUACUCACUCAAAUGGAUUUGUUCUGAGCUGUAGUUUUCAGACUUCGAGUUCUGAACCCAUCACGUACCAAAGCAGCUUCCAGCAGUGGCCUCCAGUUCCUCACACUGGUCGCAUACAUCUUUAUGACACUAUUAAGCUCUCAUUUUAGUGAAGGUUUUGCCUUUAUACGUGACCAGGUGAUGCUUCCUCUUCUGCCACUUAAUAAGUAAGUCAUUCCGUAAGUGAUUGUUAACUAAUUAGUGUGAGAAAAGGUUAUCACAUUCAACUUCUAUUGAAUUCCUAACAGGCAACCAUUUCAGGUUACCACAGGUAUCUGCACGAGGUUGAGAUCCAAUUGCAAUCGGAGGGAUGGUUGUAGGGGAGAAAGUAAUUCCGGUGCUCUGGUCAUUUUGUUAUUUAUAUAUAUAUAUUUAAAAUAAACAUGUGGAAUAUUUAUCUUAAACCUCAGGUAACUGUUUAGAAAAGAAACAGCUGAGAAGCUGAUAAUGUACCCCUUUCACUGACAAAAGAUUUAUGUCUUGCCUGGCCGGACUUCCCAAUGGUCAAACAGAAGCAGCACGUAGCCCAGUGUUUAUCCAGGGGAACUGAGACCGCUGCUUCCACGCUUUUUCAUGUGAAAUUAAUUCAGCCACGUUGAAACUGGCCAAGAAUCAAAAACGUGAUAAAAUUCCUAUUAAAAGAGUGGGAGAGCGGCUCGGAAGCAGUUUGUGCAAAAAUAUGUAGGCACGAACAUUUCUGGUGACCUUCCUCAGGAGCCAUCUGGCUGCUUGCAGGGCACCCCCUCUCCCUUUGGGGAGCAGGUGAAGAGUUCAGCUCAUCUUAGUUGUGAAAUGAGAAUCUGCAAUAAGAAACAAGCUCUUGGAAUUCAAAGAUGUAUUAUUUCGUGCCAUUCUAUUGCAGGAAAAAUGGCAGAAUCUUCUGUGGCACUCACAAAUGGGGUAACAACAAUUUUUUUUCAGAUUCUUAGUAGUGCUAAAAUCUGAACGGAAUCUGGCCUUUGCUCUUUCAUGUACAGCAUUUGAUUAACUGUGAUUCCAAAAGGUAAUAUUGGCUUUAAAUUUAUCUCUUAACAACUGAUCUUCCUGUUUUUUGUUUGUUUGUUUGUUUGUUUUUUAAUACUUUUUUUCUGCAUAGUUGUUUGCCAUCACUUUCAGCAAGGGUGCAUAAUGAAACACAGACACUUGGAAACAGAGGAGUGUUGGGGGCAGGGUAUGUGAAAGCCUGUGUGAUGUUAGUACAUACACGUGUCACACACCUAAGCCAGGAACCAGAUUUCCAGUUGUUUUUGAGUGUAUGUACAAGAAGGCAUGAUUUCUGCUGCUCAUCUCUCUCUGAGUUAUUUAAAAAAAAACAGGCCAUACAAGGAAAUAGUUCAGAAAAGGAAAAUGAUAGAUAUGAUUUCUGCUCCCUACCAGUCCUCUUAUGGCUUAGAAAUGUAUACUUAUUUAGAGUUAUAUUUUCAUUUUUGGGAGACAUACUGUAUUUUAAGUAAGCAAAUUCCUAUUUCCAUAGGUGUAAGCUUGAGCACUCUGGUUCAGUGUGUGCAUGUCUUAGUCUACUUUUGGCACUAUAUAGUUCAGGUUAUGUGCUCUUCUCUGCUAGGUUCAGGCACCCAAGUAUGUGCUUAUGUGAGUGGGAGUACAACGUACCUACGCCUACCUACGUGUGCUUACCUACAGACAUUUUUAUUUUCAAUGUUCUGAUUCCAGGUAAGCUGUUCAUUUUAAAAUGUGUAAGACAUGAGUAGCAGAAAAAAUGUACUUGUUUCUUAGUUCUGUCUUUUUUUUCUAAAACUUUUUUAAUGCACUUCUGCAGAUAGAUUCAUGAAUAAGUCAAGCUUGCUACUUUCUCCCAGUAAAUUGAUGUUCCCCAGCAUCUUGAUUUUGGCAAUGGCUCUCUGUUGAAAGAAAGACGUUAAACCUAAGUGUGAGUGAGACAGAACCAGUUCCAUUCAUGUUUUUUCUAUAAUUUAGAAUCACAUUGUAUGUAUGUGUCUCCAUAAAUAUUUAAUGAAAUGGAAAUCAGGCGUAGUUCUUCCCUCUCAGGGUUAAGUUCCGUUUCUGCAAAUUGUUUUGUGCCCUAUUUCUGCUCCUCUGUGCAUCCUAGACAUCAUCUUGGCAUCUGUAACUCUUCUGAGGUUUCAGGAGAUCUUCAGAGAAUUGCUGGUAAUUGACCUGUUUGGAUUGCACAUGACUGGCAUUUCCUAAAAGAUAAUACAACCCUGCAUUUUGUUGUUAAGUGCUGGUUGCAAUAUUAACUUGUGGCCAAACCAGAAUAAAGGCUCAAGAGACAUUUAGACAACUUCAUUUGUUCCUUACCGUAAUCUCCAUUAUAAAUGAAGCACUUUGGUCUCACCUUAAGACAUUCAGAUCGUCUUUAACUUGUCAGCUCUGUUUUUCCAGACAUGAAUACACCCACUUUGCUGCUGCUUCUUCCUUUUUUUUUUAAGAUGUUACUGUACACUAUGAAUAAACAAUCAACAUAACAUCCAAGUCAGAUGAUUUAACCUUCUGCCACUUCUCUAACCGCUAAAGAGUUCCUGCCUGCCUCUGCUAACUGGGUAUUGGAACAUGUCUUUGUGUUUUCUGAGAAAGCAGGAUUAUCCAAUGAAGGAAAGCCUAUGUUGUCUCCUUAGGAAACAGGAAUAAUUAAUAUGUUUAGGUCAGCCCUAUCCCAAAGGAGUCGGAGUAAGUCCUAUUUGUUUUAGGUUUAUAACAUAACAAACAAAUCUUGUCCCCCGCUACAGUAUUACGAUUCUGGAGGAACGUACAGGUUUACUGCUGCUGGCAUUUCAUAACAUAACUGAUUUCAGCUAAUUUUCUCAUUUCAGCGGCCUUUUCAAGAGACAAAAGAAAGUUAAAAAUAAAAUUAGAGCCUAAAAACAAUGGAUUUGCAGUAGCCAGGUAAGCACGUGCCUUUUACUUCCUGUAAUAUAAGAAUUAAAUACUGCUGAUCGCUGCAAGUAGCAGUGAAAACUCAAAUGCACUGCCUUUGGGCCUGCAAUAACCUGGAGGCUAAUUAACUGCAGAUAGGGCUUUUUAUCUUACACUUUAUAUUAAAUAAAUUCAGCCCAAAUCCAUAGAGACCAAUAAGCAUUUUUAGACUGUGUAGCUAAAUUUCACCCCAAAAUUGAUCAAGCUACAUAAGAGUCUGGCUUAUGAGAUGUCUGAUUAAUGUUUUGUUCUCCAAUGAAGCAGGUACUUAAGAUUAAAAGAGCAAAUGAGAGAGGAAAGUAGAGGAAGUCUUUUCAGUAUCUUUUUCAUCAUUUUGUAUCCUUCUUGG
ensembl:lncRNA